GAGUUUGAUCGUGGCUCAGGAUGAACGCUGGCGGCGUGCCUAAUACAUGCAAGUCGAGCGAACAGACGGGGAGCUUGCUCCCCUGACGUUAGCGGCGGACGGGUGAGUAACACGUGGGUAACCUACCUAUAAAGACUGGAAUAACUCCCGGGAAACCGGGGCUAAUGCCGGAUAACAUGUUGGACCGCAUGGUCCUACAGUGAAAGACGGUCUUGCUGUCACUUAUAGGUGGACCCGCGCCGUAUUAGCUAGUUUGGUAAGGUAACGGCUUACCAAGGCAACGAUACGUAGCCGACCUGAGAGGGUGAUCGGCCACACUGGAACUGAGACACGGUCCAGACUCCUACGGGAGGCAGCAGUAGGGAAUCUUCCGCAAUGGGCGAAAGCCUGACGGAGCAACGCCGCGUGAGUGAUGAAGGCC
rnacentral:rRNA from 1 species